AGAAGGAAAAGGGCACGUAAAAAGAGAGAAAAGGUACUUAAAAUUAGGGAAAACUCCCUUUUAGGGAUGGUUUGGGCACUCUGAAGCAGAGGGUUGCAGAUGGCCAAGCCACACAAGCAGGAAUUCACAGUGACCCACACAGCGCUGGGCUCCAGCGGUCAUGGUGCCAUUAAGUUAUCAGACAGACGUUUUCCCUGCGGAUUCCAGCAGCAGCAAGUGUGUGGUUAGGGCUCAAUUUUAACAUCAUGCUAAACCCUUGGUUUAAAAUUGACCCUUUUUCCACCCCUUGAAUACAACAGGGAGGAUUCUGCAGUGAGGACUCUGAAUUCCUCUGCUGCAGGGGCUCAAAAUGUUUGGGUGCUGAAGGAACCGAAGGAAGGAACAAUUUCAUCAGCCAGAGCUAUAAAAAUAAAUGAGGAACACAGGAACUGGGUAGAGUAACGCCAACAACACCGUGUAUUGCAAAAGAACGGGUCAGGCUGGGGGGUUCAGGAAUGGAGCUGCUCCGGCCUCGCAGGAAACCUCAUUACAUCUGAAUAUUAAUUAAGUAGCUGUGUAAGACAAGUCAGGAACAUCGCUGAGGGCACAAAGGCAAUGGCAAGUACAGAGAAAGGCAGGAGGAAUAAAUGAAUACACAUAAAAACCCUGCAAACAUAAGAUAGCCCUUAAAAAUGCAAAGGAAUGCACUCAGUAUUAGUAGGAAUUCCUGCCAGGGACAGAGAAAACAUUAGGAGGAGAAAGAAGGGUGCAUAUCUCCUGCCACCAGCGUUUGAUUGUGCUGUGAUGCAACCCCGAGCACAACCGCGCGCUGUGUUGAGCAAGGGAUUUCUAAUCGAGAUCUGUGCCAUCGCGCGUGGCUUGGGCAAGAGCAGGACACGUGGCCCAGGGAUGAGGACAAACCGGAAUGCUUGCAAAGAAAGGCUGUUCAGAAGAUGAGCAAAAUGGAGAUGAAGACCUGUUUAAGGAGCACAAACAAAAGGCCUGUUCCACGCUGAACACACCCAGUGCAAUGGGAAGUCAUAAACCAAGAGCUGCUCCCCAGCUGGAGCCAGCAGGCAAAGGAAGAGAUGAAGUUAUCCAAAAUGGAUGGGAGAAGCUCUGCCGAAGCAGAUGGUCCGUGGUGCCCAGAGGUGGAGUCCUGCCAGUGCAGGCGGCCAGGCAGGCUCCCCAGGGAUGCCGGCGUGGCCUUCCUCAAAGGGAAGAGUGGAAGAGGCAGGAGCAUGGCUCCAUCCAGGGCUAUCCCGUUCCCUAGGCACACUCAGAGCACGAUCCCAGCCAAACCCCACUGAAUCACGCACAAAGAAAAGGUGAAUUUCAACUCAGUGAUCCCUAAAAGACAAGAAAUGCAGUAUUAUCAAGCUGCCCGAGGCCCAAUUAAGAUACAUCCUAAAAAAAUGCGGUUCCACACCCAGUUACUAAUUUAUUCUGCAGACUCAUUCAGCAACCUGUCAGACAUUUCCAUCCCGAGAGAGCUCCUCCCAGCCAUACGCUGCUUGGGCGCUGCUGCCCAGACUUCUGCAUCCACGGCUUUGGUUCUGCCAAGUCCUGCAGCCAGCACUGUGCAAGAGCAGCAUCUCUUCCUCCUUCCAGCCCGUGAGGUGACACCAGGCCACCCUGAAGAAGAAGGGAUGUUCUUGCAAAGUCUAACGUGCUGCAACACCACAGGAAACGUGCAAACCACUCAGCCCUUUUUCUUCUGAAACCACACCUCGCAGGGCUUUUUGCAGCAAACCCCUGCACGGGUGUGUAACUCAUCCAGGAGGAGGGGAAAGUCCUCUGCUUUGUGCAGUCAGUUUUCCUGCUUGUUCACCCACUGGCAAUGUUCCCAUCCCGCUGUGCAUCAAGAUUAAAAUCUGAUGGUUUAGAAGAAGGUAAAGCGAAGGUUUUUAACUUCCCUUGCUGAGUUAACUCACAGCAAAUUGCCUGGUGUCAACAUAUCAUUUACCCAAGGGUUUGGCAAUUACAUCUGCUUUAGUGCUGGGGAUGUGGAUAUGAUAGCUAAGAAGAAGGAUUAUAUGUAUAGCUUGGAUAAUUGUAUCUUUCCUUCGCUUGAUCGAUACCAAAACACCACAAAAAACCAUGCUUAUCUCAAAUAUCAGAUACUGGGAGGUCUCCCACCCUUUUUGCUCUAAUGGAAGAGAAACACCCUUUAUCCUAUGGUGAAAUGCUACUCCUUUAUUUCCUUCAUCUUCACCAUUUGAUGGAAAGGGUAACUUUUUUGUUGUUUUCUAUAAAGGAUUAUUUUAAAAAUACAAAGAAUCAGAUGUGUCCAAAAAUAUCCUGAUUUGUUCCAAGCGGAUCCGCGAAAGCACACCUUCGCUGCCCUCUUCCCCACCUACAGCUCCCAAUCCUUAGCAGGAACUGUCUGAUGAACACAUGGUGAGCAGCCUCCAAACCAUAUUUCCAUAGCAAAGCGAGUGAUUCUUGGCGUUGGAUCACAGCCAUUUUGAUCUGGCUGCUCUCCAGAAAGAAAGGGGGGAAGGAAACGCAGGCUCUGGUUAUAAAGAGCAGUGAGUGGGGAUUUUUGAGCACAUCACUGAAAACCAGCAGGUGAAAAACAAAACAGGGUGAGCUUGAUCCUGAGCACCAAAAAAAGUCAUCUUCUCCCUACCCCAGCUUCUAGUUAAAACGUGAAGAGCAUUCAGCAUCUGCAUUUGUUUCACAGCACAAAGGGUCUCUGCUCCUCCACCAUCUGCAAGAAAACCACAGCAGAAUUUGGUUGCCAAAGGUUCUCUGUGCAAGGCUAUGAGGAGCCAGUAGUGCAGGCAGGAGCUCCCAAGCUGGGUACUUAGAAUCAUGGAAUGGUUUGGACGUCAAAGUCCAUCCAGUUCCACCCCCCUGCCAUGGGCAGGGACACCUCCCACUGGAUCAGGGGCUCUAAGCCCCAUCCAACCUGGCCUGGAACACCUGCAGGGAUGGGGCAGCCACAGCUUCUCUGGACAACCUGUAGGAUUAUCCAGCAAGACACCAACAUUCAAGGUGACUCACCAAAAGGAAAGGCUGACUCCGCUUCCGUCAUACCUGCAAAAGUGACCUGGGACCCUUGUGAAGUGACUUCGGAACUAACUGAGCGGGCAUGAAAGCACAUCCAUGGUCAACAGGGCUGUUCUAGGGAUUUACUCUUCGGAAGCAGAGUUGAGUCUGAGUUUUAUAAAAGGAAGCCUAAUUAGAUCAUUGUCUGUGCUGUUAAAUCUUAGCUAAGGAGCUGGAAUGAUCUCCAUACACUUGCUAGACAGGAAAUAUUUUCUUUUUGUUUUUAUAAAGUACAAUUUUGGAGGAUUUAAAACCUCACGACUGGGAGCUGAAAGGAGUUUAAAUGGUGCCAGAGUUACAGCCCUCAGCAAAAUUAAAACAGAAGCAUUCGACACCCUGCAAAGACCACUACAAUAAAAGUGCUGACAGAUCUACGACUGCACUGAUCUCCUGGAUCCCGCUCCGCGACACAUAGCAUCUUACACAUCCUGGUGGGGACACAGGAAAGAGCCCUCACAACUCUUCUUUUUACCCCCCCCCAAAAGUCAAGUGACUUCCAUCUGAAUUUCACCAAACACUGAACUUCAUUACCCGCUGUCUGUGCCCACCGUAGAGCUCAGCCGCUGGCCUUUGUGUCAGCAUCUAAAAGGACCUUAGAAAUGCAGGAUGCCGUCAGCAUGCUUGCACAGGGAUACUUUUCAUUCCAUGUCUUUCUGAUCUCCCAUCAUGAUGUGUCACAAGAGUUACCAUGAGUUUGCCCAUUUUCCUGUUUAUAAAGGGUUUAUCUGUUUCAGGAAUCCAACAGCUGUAUUUCUGUGGCUUCGGAGGGUUUUCAGCCUGCUUAUGCAAGAGGAAACGCAUCCUGCUAGGGAACACUUACAGGAAAACCCCCCACUAAUGGCAAAAUCCUGCUCAGCCCA